rnacentral:rRNA from 1 species
AACGAACGCUGGCGGCGUGGAUAAGACAUGCAAGUCGAACGGGACAUUUUUAGUAAUAAUAUUAGAGAUGUUCAGUGGCGAACGGGUGCGUAACACGUGGAUACAUUCCGGAACGCGGGGGAUAGCCCAGGGAAACUUGGAUUAAUACCGCAUGUGGUCGCAAGACUAAAGACGGGGAUCGAAAUACCUGUCACUUUCCGAUUGGUCCGCGGCCUAUCAGCUAGUUGGCGGGGUAAAAGCCCACCAAGGCGACGACGGGUAGCUGGUCUUAGAGGACGACCAGCCACACUGGAACUGAGACACGGUCCAGACACCUACGGGUGUCAGCAGUCGAGAAUCUUUCACAAUGGGGGCAACCCUGAUGGAGCGACGCCGCGUGGAGGAUAAGGUCUUCGGAUUGUAAACUCCUGUCAUGCGAGAACAAGGUUGCAGGGCUAAUACCCGUGCAAAUUGAUGGUACCGCAAGAGGAAGAGACGGCUAACUCUGUGCCAGCAGCCGCCGUAAUAC